AGAUGCUGGAGUUCUGGCAGUGCCUUCUUGCCCUCUGUCAGUAUUAACCAGGUAGAGAGGGACAACUAUUAUCUCAGGCUGGGCUGAACUGGAGAGAGUGGUAUCCUGUAGGAAAUAAGGGGGUCGUUACGUAAAGGGGCAUGGCAGGGAAGAAGGAAUUCCAUAUUUAAACAGUUGAGACUGGACAUGCAGUGAUGUACUCUGAGAAAUAUUUAAUCGGUGCCCGUCUCCAGAGUACAUGAGACCAUCCGUGCUAGCCAGCUGGCCUCCUGACACUCCGUGACACAGAGGGAACCCCAUCCAAGUUUACUCUCCAUCCUUCUAUUUUUGAAUCCUUUUAACACUUGAGAGAGAGAGAGAGAGAGAGAGAGAGAGAGAGAGAGAGAGACAGAGACAGAGAACAACAGAACAGGCAGGCAGGCUGUGUUUAGCCCCCAAACUGCUUGCAGAGCCCGAAAGCUUGGGAGUCAAUACAAUUUCUUUGGCACCUUGUGAAAAGAUAUAAACAUUCCAUAACUCACCAUGUUGUUAGUCUAUGGAUCCCACACUCCAGCAUACUUACAUAUUACCAGAAAAGAGAGAGGGGGACAGAGAGGACUGUGCCGAGGUGUUUAGAGAGAAGAAUUCGGGAUUCAAGCUGCAGCGGUGUAGACGAGGAAAGGGAGGGGAGGGCAGCCCAGAAAACAAGGGAGCUGCUUUGCAGGAGUUUCGAAAGAGAUGGUGUAGAAGACACACACACAUGUCUAAUUCCUUGCCUUGGCUGGAUAACACGGCUGCAAAAGGUUAGGACACAGCGAGAAGGUGGCUGUCUGUGUGCGAGGAAGAGAGCCCUAACUAGGAACCACAUCAGCUGGCACCUUGGUUUUGGACUUCCCAGCCUCAAGAUCUGUGAGAAAUAAAUAUCUGUUGUCUAAGACACCUGAUUAUGGGAUUUUGUUACAGCAGCCUAAGCUAAGACACCUAGAUUUUCCUCACGGGUUCCUAUCUUCAAAGACAGUCCAGUACUAGAAAGCCGGAACAUCAUCUAAAUUGUACCGGUGAAGUAUAGUAAGUUUGGUCAAUACUUAGCAAAUGGGUUAUGACCAAAAGCUGGGAGAGUGCAAGGGUGUGGGUCUAUCUGGGGGUUGUUUUUUAUUUUUUGUGGAGUGCAGGUAGCAAGGGGAAGGGAUACUAACAAGGGUGACUAGGUAAGAAAUCAAGUUUUUUGAGUCUGGAUUAGAAGAUCAACCCCAGAAACAGUAAGCAACUCAUAACAAACUCAGUUUUCAAGCUACAGAUAACCUGGAUUGAGGAGAAACAAUUUGGAUAUCCUAGGUUAACUUGAUGCCUAUCCUUUCCAUAGGUUGCCCAAGACAGUGCCAGUGGAAUGAGGCCAUGUGGACCAGUCAAAAAUACAAAACGAAUGACCCCUCUUCAGUAGUUAGAAGGAGUAAAACCCUCCAGUUGGGACAUACUUGGUUCCAGUGAACUUACAUCGGAGGUUGGGGAGGGUGGGGCAUGUUUCAAACCGAACAAUGCUCUUUACAAAUAAAGCACUUGAACCAUCACACACCAAAGGGACUGGGGGUGAGUGGAGCGGUGGUUGUCAGGGAGAGAAGCAAAAGCCAAUUUUGACUUCAGCUCAGAGUUACUUUUACUUUGAGCUCCAGUGUCCCACAUGUGAUUCUUCUUGUCCAAAGAUAGAAGUAGGUUUCAGUGAGUUUUUAACUUAAUCUGCUUUUGGCCAUAUAAGGUGCCAGGGCUGCAUGACAUCAGGCACAAGGCUUCCCAGGGCUUUGACCCUGUAGAGAAGAUGCCUCCCCAGAGUGUUGACAGUUCACCCUGAGCCAAAGGCCUUCCUGUCCCAAAGAAGGAGGGAGAUAGGCAUUGUCAUUUUACAUGGAAGGAACUACUUUCUGAUUUAUUGUAAACACUGUACGAACUACAGAGGCAGCUUCCAUUCCUGCCUAGCUGGCUACUAAUGAAAUUCCCUUCAACCCUGUAGAAGGUGGGGGCAGUGAAGAAAUGGAGCUGCUUGAAGAAUCAGAUAUGCUCCUAGCAUAUACAGUUCCAGAAACUGCCCAUUUCCGUCUCCACUGAAGACCACCGUGAUGAUGCUGUCAGAGGGAGGGGAGCCUGGGUUCCUCGUUACGAGAGAUGAGGAGAGCAGCAGGUCCAGGACAGCAGAAAGAAAGGCAGCAUCUGGGAGCACCAGAAAACAGGAUUCCCCUCUGGCCCCGGGGUCUCCCGGACCCCAACUCAUUCCUUAUAAGGAGAUGCCAGGCCUGUGGGGCUCUAAGAGCUGUCUUCAUCUGAAACUAAGCCGGGGCAGUCCCCAGCCCAGCCCAACUUGGUUCUGUCUAAGCCAGCAUAGUACUUACAGGUCUGGCAAUGGCUCUAUGGACAAGAAGUCAUUCUUGCAUUCAGAAAACAAAUCCAAGAAAUAAUGUAUGACCUAAAGGUUCUUGAAAGUUGGGUGGCCAAAUGUACACUGAAUAUACAGAACAAAACCUCUGUAUCAGCAAUUUGCCAGGUUCUCUUUAAGACACCCCAGUUAAAAAAAAAAUUCUUGGAGAGUGACAAAUAAGAAAAUAUGCUAUCUGUAGGCGAUAUCAUAGGAAAUUCACCAUUAUGAUAAAUUUCACCCUUAUAAACUCCUUGAGGGCAAUGUUUAACAUCUUGAUCUGAACACAGUGAAUGCUCAGUAAAGCUGUAGUAAAUAAAUGUA